UAUUUGUGUGAAGUGUAAUGAGCAUCAUCAACUGCUUCUUGUGUAACGUUGAAUCAUCUGGAAGCCUUUGUUUGAACAGAAGCUUGCCUAUUAAUACAACAGAAGGCUAGUUUAUUUGUCCAGACUCCCAGAUGAGAAAAGUGAUGACCUUGAGAUGUGUAUGUGAAAGACAAAGCUCUAACAGAGAUGAUCACAUCUGAAUAAUAGUUCAGUGUAAUCAGAAAUGUUCUUAUGUGGUCUCCAAACCUUCUUGCAAGAAACAGAUUGGCACUGACUUCUGACAGUAAGAGCAGAACUGAAUACUUGGAAGGGGGAAAACAACAGCUGUGCCCCAGUCCUGGUUAAUAAGUUGGAAAGAGGAUAAGGUGAAAAUUGACAAUUACCUGAGCUUUGGGAGCGAAGUAGUGAUACUCAGCAUUUCUGUUACUAUUAUGUUAUUUCCACUGAGUCUCAAGCAUAUAUAAUGCAAUCGGUUCCUUUUAUAAUCUUCUUAAUAAAAAGAAGAAUGGUUUUCA